AUGACAAAUAUAAGUAGUGAUGCGCCCUAUGGCCCAUGGGAUGGUGUCCUGGGUACCUGAAGCAGUGCUUGCGGUGUGUGCCGCAGAAUUGUUAUCUAAAGGUGGGUGUUUUGAGAGGGUCUGCCCCUUAUGCAAGUGAGAGGCACAUAUGCAAGACUCAAACGUUUCCCCUGCUUGUAUCGUAAGUGCUGGCAUUUGCCCACUGGAUGUGAGUCAUCUGUGAGUUAAAGUGGUACUGCUUCAGUGGCUGAUAAAUGCAGAUGUGCCAGGCUGUGCCAUUGGUUUAGUAACCUGCCCUAAUCGUGGCAUUCAUUUGGGGGGGGGCAGCUAUCAA